GGCUCCUCAUUUCACACGAUACCUAUCCGCGCCUCCACACCCCUCUCUUCCAAACGCUCCAUCGGCGGCGCCUCUCUGCCUUGCACCGCCGUCGCACUGAACUUCUGUCACACUGAAGCUCCGUCACAUCCCCUCCCGACGCUUCUUCGUGUGUUGCUCGUGUCGCUUCGUAUCGAACCCUAAUAUGCAGAAAUCGCAGAAAUCGCUCCGUUUCGAUCUUGUCUCAACUGUGCAGCCUCUCCUCCUAUUCGCCAUUUUCCAUCGAGCUUUUCUGCAUCUCGUCCGAUUCACCACCUCUCCUCGAAAUUUGCAGCGCGCUGCUGUCGUUUUCCUUCUUGCACUUCUGGAUCUGCUACCACUCAUAGAAUUUCCUGUUCCAGAAUAUCGAGAAUCUAUCCUCAGAUUCGCCCAUGACAAGUCAAGAUCUGUUACCAAGGCUCCUGCCAUGAAGGACAAAUGAGCUCUAUCAGCUGGCGUCUGUUGCCUUCUGCUUGCUUGUAGCCUGAUAAGGCCUUAGAGCUUGGAAUCAUAAACAGCCGCCAUGAAGCCUUCAUCACUUCCAAACUUUGGUGCAACAAUGCUCACCAUGACCUUGUCCUUCUAGCUCUCAAGACCACACUCAAGUGGAAAUGAGCUCAUCAUGGCAACAAGGGAAACUCAGAGAAUUUUACAAGCAGAAAGGAAUCCAUUUGGCUGCAUGGUCACCAUUAGGAUCUUACACAAAAUCAUGGGGUACUAAUUCAGUUAUGGAGAGUCCAAUCAUUAAUGAAAUAGCCACUUCUAGACACAAGAGUGUGCCUCAGGUUUAACCAAGUUGGAAUCUCUGAAUCUGAAGUAGUGUAAUUGCAUAAUAGAUGUCGAUAUGAAACCUCUAUCAGGGCUACAAAAUCUUGCUCUGUUAAAUUUGGAAGGCUGCUUUGUAACAGCUGCAUGCUUGGAUACUCUUGCAGGCGUACACAGCCCCAAUCACGAAGCGCCUAUUGCUGUCAUUCUUCUUUCUUGGAUUAACUGGCAGGUGGAGUGGGACUGUUUCUGCUAUUGUUUCAGAGGGGAGCGCAGUUGGCGCGAGUUUUUCUGCGACUGAAGUCUUCAAAUUGACAAAAUGAAGUGGAAGGAAAUUGUGGAUGAGUGGGUGAGGUUGAAUCAACCGGGUAGAACAGCUUCUCUCAUGGCUGAUGGGGACUCUUCACCGCUGAAAACCACCCAAAACGGGCAUCAUCAGACAUGGCUUAUAGGAAAAUCUCUGAUUGAGUUCCAGUCUACAAAAGGAGAUGUUCUUCCUGCACACAAGAAUCAGAGCCAGUGCUUAGCAGAUCUAUGUGGCGCAUUGCACUGUGACAUUGAAAUCAAUUUUGGGUUGAAAAAAUCAAAAUGUAAUCCUGCUGCCGCUGCAAGAAAUAAACAUCUGUGCGAGGUGUGCAUCAGUCUGUCUUUAGAUCGGAUAUAGUAAGGUCAGAAAGUGGGAAGCAGCGAAUAAUUUUGAUGGACCAAGAAUUUCAAGAAGCAAGUAUAUUGCCAUCAUUACUAAGAAGCUCAAGAAAGAAUGAAGCUAUCCAUAAAUUAGGAUAUUGAAUCUUGAUGAGUCUACUAGUAGUUAUUUGCCAUCUAAUGUAUUUAGAUUGUAUUAUUGCAUGGAAAUAAUUGCUUAUUAUAAAGAAAACAUUUUGUACUCACCAGUGUGUUUUUCUAUUUAUACCAUCAAUAAAAAUUUGUAUU